CCGAGUUUCAACAAAACCUGAAUUAGCCAGUCACGUGUCAAAGUCUUUACAGAAAACUAUAAAAGAAGGAAAGGUACACGAAUUAAACCAUUCUUCAGUAGAAUCUCCACCCGUGCAGAUUGUAAAUAAUUCGGAAGAUAUGGCGAAUAAAGGACAAUCUUGCGACGAUUGUGGACUGCUGUUUGACUCUGUACAUGAUCUUCAAAAUCACGUGAAACAUUGGUGCCAGGAAAGUCAACCAAUGAAGCGACCAUUCCCUGACAAAAGAUAAUUUACCCACUAAAAGGAUGAAAUACGAUUCCGAUGACAGCAACGACUCCUUCGAAUACCUGGUUUAAGAAAAUGAAGUUUACAAUCAUCUGGCAAAGUUUACCAGGCAACAUAAUGAAAAUGAAUGGCGAGAAAAAGUGGAAAAAUACGUAAAGCAAGGACUUUCCGUUACAAAAGCUAAAGCAAAGGCUAAUAAAACCCUGCGAGAAGAAGACAUACGGGUCUUUAUGCUGAAAUAUGGCGUUUUGCUCUCCUAUAUAUUUAAGCUGAGAGAAGGUUAUCUCCAUCACAAAAUUACGGAAACUGUCGAAAAAUACCUCGAGCGAGAAUUGGAUCUAGAACGUGCCAUUCGCCUGGCAUUGAAGAGAUUAAAACAUUAUUUUGAAGAAUUCAUGGAUGAACACCUUAUAAACGAUAACGAAAGGGCAGAUAAUAAUGAUGACGUUGAGAGUGAAAUCAGUGAAAAUGAAACUGACGAAGAAACUGACGACGAAAGGGACUGAAAUUACACAGUUAUCACAGUUGUCUUUGAAGUACUUUGUAAAGGGUUUUAGUCAAUAUCUGUCACAGAAUUACCUAUAAGAUUGAAUAUAAAUACCGUUGAAUAGUUGGUGUAGGUCAGUGAUUGCUUGGUGAUCAAAGUGUACACAUGUGUUUAGGAAAAUAUGGACAUAUCUCAUAACGCGUAAAUUGUAUAUUUGAUAAUCAUAAUACCUUAGACAGCUGAAACGAAUGGAUUGCGUUCAUUGAUUGAUUGAUAAAGAAGCAGACGACAAAGGGGUUAAUAUUUUACCAGAACGGUGUCAUUUUCUCGAAGGAGUCCCAUUGGAAGGAAGUCAACAUGAUGAGUGACAUUUACAUCUAUCUACAAAGUGACGAAAGCGAUGCAUAUUUUGUAAACAACGAUACUAGCCAUUUCAAAAUACAAUUGAAUGAGCCUAUAUACUAAGGUAUAUGGAAAUUGGCUUUAAUGGAGUUUCACGCAUCGGAAAAAGUGAGAUCGAAAUCUAGGACGGACUUUACGUGUAUUCAGAUAUUUGUGGCGAAAGUAUCGUGAAAGGAAAAGCUAGUCCUUGCUGCGACGACUUGAGAAAAACAAGAAAAAUGGGUGGGAUUACAAACUUGACGCUCCUUACUACCUACCUGUGAGAAGAAAAGAAAUUCGGGAAUUUGAAUUACAUAUAAAGCAGGAAGAUGAAACAAACGCGUCGCAUUUAGUGAAACCUGUGCGCCUGACACUUCACUUAAAACGAUAUCCGUUUUUCUGCUAAACUCAUGAAAUUGUAGACGUGACUUUUGAUCUAGAUCAGCUAUUAAUAUUGACAAAAUUGUAAAGACAAAAGGAAAUGAAAUUAACAAACGCUAUUAUGUGUAAUAGAAAAAAUAAAAGUGGAUUUUAAUGUUAAAUAUGAAAACAAAAAUUGGACAGCAUGGAAAGCAUUUAUAUUUAUACCACCGUGUUUUAUAAAUAGACUAAAACUUUGUCUUUAAAUGUUUAAAAAUAAAGUAAUAAAAAUACUACAAGGUGGUUGACUAUUUUUGCUGGUUUAUCAAGUUUUUAAUGUUCCACCUUACCGCACACGGUAUAAUUGAAACCGAUUGAAUAGUCAAUUGUGUAAACCCUCAAAUAUUACAAUACAACCGUUAAAUUACCACUUUACCAUGAUACUAGUCGCUUGUCAAAAUUGAAAUUUACCUAUAAUUAUCUGGUGUUUCAGAUAUAAUGAGAAAUAAAAGUUCCAUUAAACAAAUUUAAAAACAUUUUCUCAAUGAGUUCAAUAAUAUCGUGGUUCUCAUAUCAAUUUAUUAAAUUGACCGGUUUUUAUUUCGAGCUUUUUGCUAUUGUAACUUAAUGUUUAUAUAUACUAAUUGACUUGACUUGUCUCAUCGCUUACAAUGUAAUUGACACAGGUUAGACUAAGCAAAUCAUCUAAAAGAAGUAACAGACAAGAUCAGAAUAUUAAAAAAUGAAUUUAAAUGUAGAAUAGAAAAUAGAAAAAUAAAUAAAAAUUAAAAACUACAAAGGUUGUUUACUUUUUUCGCUAGUUAUAUUUUUAAAAGAGAUCAUGUUCCGCCUUACCGCACACAGUAUAAUUGAGACGGAUUGAAUAGUCAAUUGUUAAAAGACCGUUGCCACUUUGUCAUUUGAUCUCUGAUUAUUGUUAUAUCAAUUAAUGGGCUAAAUUGAAUAAAUUUGAUUGUAAUUGAUAUCUCGUAAUAUAAAGUGUUGGGUGAGGUUUAUAUCUAUAAAAUUCUUUUGUGAUAAGACAAUAGAAAAUAGAUUAAGAAAUUAUUAUAAAUAAAACAAUGAAAUAUUGACAAUGAAAAAUAAAACUAGGUUGACAAUCAAAAGAUACCGUUAUAUAAUAUCCUCUAGGCCAUACCAAAUUGAUUAAUAGUUCUUCGGAAAAUUUUCCAAAAAAUUAGGAGCGGGCGAGCGAAAUUUUUAUUUUAUUUUUUUUUUCUCAAUUUUGAAUUUUUCAGAGGCGGGUAGAUUUUACAUGGAGCGAGCGGGCAUUUUUUAUUUUUUUUUCCCAGCUUGAACCCUUGAGGAGGCGGUUAUGAUUAUAUAUAAAGUUAACAUUUCUUUAGAAAUAACACAGAAAUCAAACAUUUACAGUGUGGGUAACACAGUAUAUAGCUUUUCUAUAUGUUUUAAAGACUACAUGAAUGAUUUUGCAAAUAAAUUCUUGCCAAAACUCA